rnacentral:rRNA from 1 species
AUUGAACGCUGGCGGCAUGCCUUACACAUGCAAGUCGAACGGCAGCACGGGAGCAAUCCUGGUGGCGAGUGGCGAACGGGUGAGUAAUAUAUCGGAACGUGCCCAGUCGUGGGGAUAACGUAGCGAAAGCUACGCUAAUACCGCAUACGAUCUAUGGAUGAAAGCGGGGGAUCGCAAGACCUCGCGCGAUUGGAGCGGCCGAUAUCAGAUUAGGUAGUUGGUGAGGUAAAGGCUCACCAAGCCGACGAUCUGUAGCUGGUCUGAGAGGACGACCAGCCACACUGGGACUGAGACACGGCCCAGACUCCUACGGAGGCAGCAGUGGGGAAUUUUUGGACAAUGGGACGCAAGCCUGAUCCAGCAAUGCCGCGUGCAGGAUGAA